UACGAAGGGUGCAAGCGUUAAUCGGAAUUACUGGGCGUAAAGGGUGCGUAGGCGGUUCGUUAAGUCUGUCGUGAAAUCCCUGGGCUCAACCUGGGAAUGGCGGUGGAUACUGGCGAGCUAGAGUGUGUCAGAGGAUGGUGGAAUUCCCGGUGUAGCGGUGAAAUGCGUAGAGAUCGGGAGGAACAUCAGUGGCGAAGGCGGCCAUCUGGGACAACACUGACGCUGAAGCACGAAAGCGUGGGGAGCAAACAGG
rnacentral:rRNA from 1 species